CAGCAGCCACGGUAAUACGGAGGGGGCUAGCGUUGUUCGGAAUUACUGGGCGUAAAGCGCUCGUAGGCGGCUUUGUAAGUUAGAGGUGAAAGCCCGGAGCUCAACUCCGGAAUUGCCUUUAAGACUGCAGAGCUAGCAGGUGGGAGAGGUGAGUGGAAUUCCGAGUGUAGAGGUGAAAUUCGUAGAUAUUCGGAAGAACACCAGUGGCGAAGGCGGCUCACUGGCUCAUACUGGACGCUGAGGUGCGAAAGCGUGGGGAGCAAACAGGAUUAGAGACCCCCGUAGUCCCUGUCUCUUAUAC
rnacentral:rRNA from 1 species